CCUGUGCGCCUGCGCGCGGGCGGAACGCAGUGGUCUGUGGUGUCGCUGCGACAGAAGGUUGUCGCCGGUGGAUCCCCUUGAGGCGAAACAGCUUUGUCCUGAUUUCUUGGUUUUGUGCGACACUAUAGGCUACAGAAACUAUAGAACUUACGAUUUGCACCCUUUGAGAAGCUUCUCACCCUCAAGAUGGCCUGCAUUCUGCCUUGAACGUGUGUCUGCUGUCAUUAAUAAAUCAGUGUCUCUGACUGGUCCUCCACCCAGCAGCUUCAGGACCCGACUCCUUUCCCCAACCUCGAGAGUCGUCCUGGGGGCACUCCUUCCCUUAUCCUUCAAAUGACUAGAGCAUCCAUUGGAAUCAGGGCCUGUGAGAGACCUUAUGCUGUAGGACAUGACUAAGCUGCACUCUGAUUUCAGACCCAGAGAAACCAUGAGAUUUGAAAUAUGUGUAAGA